UACGAAGGGGGCUAGCGUUGUUCGGAAUUACUGGGCGUAAAGCGUGCGCAGGCGGUGAUGUAAGACAGAUGUGAAAUCCCCGGGCUCAACCUGGGAACUGCAUUUGUGACUGCAUCGCUGGAGUGCGGCAGAGGGGGAUGGAAUUCCGCGUGUAGCAGUGAAAUGCGUAGAUAUGCGGAGGAACACCGAUGGCGAAGGCAAUCCCCUGGGCCUGCACUGACGCUCAUGCACGAAAGCGUGGGGAGCAAACAGG
rnacentral:rRNA from 1 species